rnacentral:rRNA from 1 species
CCUACGGGCGGCAGCAGUGGGGAAUAUUGCACAAUGGGGGAAACCCUGAUGCAGCGACGCCGCGUGAGUGAAGAAGUAUUUCGGUAUGUAAAGCUCUAUCAGCAGGGAAGAAAAUGACGGUACCUGACUAAGAAGCCCCGGCUAACUACGUGCCAGCAGCCGCGGUAAUACGUAGGGGGCAAGCGUUAUCCGGAUUUACUGGGUGUAAAGGGGGCGUAGACGGCAGCGCAAGUCUGGAGUGAAAUCCCAGGGCUUAACCCCGGAACGGCUUUGGAAACUGUGCGGCUGGAGUGCAGGAGGGGUAAGCGGAAUUCCUAGUGUAGCGGUGAAAUGCGUAGAUAUUAGGAGGAACACCGGUGGCGAAGGCGGCUUACUGGACUGUAACUGACGUUGAGGCUCGAAAGCGUGGGGAGCAAACAGGAUUAGAUACCCUAGUAGUC